rnacentral:miRNA from 1 species
ACAGAGUAUACGAGCGGAGAUCG